AUUGAACGCUGGCGGCAGGCCUAACACAUGCAAGUCGAGCGGAUGAAGGGAGCUUGCUCCUGGAUUCAGCGGCGGACGGGUGAGUAAUGCCUAGGAAUCUGCCUGGUAGUGGGGGAUAACGUCCGGAAACGGGCGCUAAUACCGCAUACGUCCUGAGGGAGAAAGUGGGGGAUCUUCGGACCUCACGCUACCAGAUGAGCCUAGGUCGGAUUAGCUAGUUGGUGGGGUAAAGGCCUACCAAGGCGACGAUCCGUAACUGGUCUGAGAGGAUGAUCAGUCACACUGGAACUGAGACACGGUCCAGACUCCUACGGGAGGCAGCAGUGGGGAAUAUUGGACAAUGGGCGAAAGCCUGAUCCAGCCAUGCCGCGUGUGUGAAGAAGGUCUUCGGAUUGUAAAGCACUUUAAGUUGGGAGGAAGGGCAGUAAGUUAAUACCUUGCUGCUUUGACGUUACCAACAGAAUAAGCACCGGCUAACUUCGUG
rnacentral:rRNA from 1 species